rnacentral:rRNA from 1 species
UGCAGCCGCGGUAAUUCCAGCUCCAAUAGCGUAUAUUAAAGUUGCUGCAGUUAAAAAGCUCGUAGUUGAAUUUCGGGAUCAGUACGCUGGUCGUGCCUUUGGUAUGUACUGGUGUCACUGAUUCCUCCCUUCUGAAGAACCGUUAUGCCAUUUAUUUGGUGUGGCGGGGAAUCAGGACUGUUACUUUGAAAAAAUUGAGUGUUUAAAGCAGGCUCGCGCUUGAAUACAUUAGCAUGGAAUAAUGAAAUAGGACGUUUGAUCUUAUUUUGUUGGUUUCUAGGAUCGACGUAAUGAUUAAUAGGGAUAGUUGGGGGCAUUAGUAUUCAACUGUCAGAGGUGAAAUUCUUGGAUUUAUUGAAGACUAACUACUGCGAAAGCAUUUGCCAAGGAUGUUUUCAUUAAUCAAGAACGAAAGUUAGGGGAUCGAAGACGAUC